AUACGGAGGGUGCAAGCGUUAAUCGGAAUUACUGGGCGUAAAGCGUACGUAGGCGGUCCGUUAAGUUAGAUGUGAAAGCCCCGGGCUUAACCUGGGAACUGCAUUUAAAACUGGCGAACUAGAGUUGAGUAGAGGGGAGUGGAAUUUCAGGUGUAGCGGUGAAAUGCGUAGAGAUCUGAAGGAACACCAGUGGCGAAGGCGACUCCCUGGACUCGAACUGACGCUGAGGUACGAAAGCGUGGGUAGCAAACGGGAUUAGAAACCCCAGUAGUCC
rnacentral:rRNA from 1 species